rnacentral:rRNA from 1 species
GAUGAACGCUGGCGGCGUGCCUAAUACAUGCAAGUCGAGCGAACGGACGAGAAGCUUGCUUCUCUGAUGUUAGCGGCGGACGGGUGAGUAACACGUGGAUAACCUACCUAUAAGACUGGGAUAACUUCGGGAAACCGGAGCUAAUACCGGAUAAUAUUUUGAACCGCAUGGUUCAAAAGUGAAAGACGGUCUUGCUGUCACUUAUAGAUGGAUCCGCGCUGCAUUAGCUAGUUGGUAAGGUAACGGCUUACCAAGGCAACGAUGCAUAGCCGACCUGAGAGGGUGAUCGGCCACACUGGAACUGAGACACGGUCCAGACUCCUACGGGAGGCAGCAGUAGGGAAUCUUCCGCAAAGGGCGAAAGCCUGACGGAGCAACGCCGCGUGAGUGAUGAAGGUCUUCGGAUCGUAAAACUCUGUUAUUAGGGAAGAACAUAUGUGUAAGUAACUGUGCACAUCUUGACGGUACCUAAUCAGAAAGCCACGGCUAAAUACGUG